GAACGGUGGCUAAUACCGGAUAUGCCGAAAGGUGAAAGGUUAACUGCCUGGAGAUGAGCUCGCGUCUGAUUAGCUAGUUGGUAGGGUAAAAGCUUACCAAGGCGACGAUCAGUAGCUGGUCUGAGAGGACGAUCAGCCACACUGGGACUGAGACACGGCCCAGACUCCUACGGGAGGCAGCAGUGGGGAAUUUUCCGCAAUGGGCGAAAGCCUGACGGAGCAAUACCGCGUGAGGGAGGAAGGCUCUUGGGUUGUAAACCUCUUUUCUCARGGAAGAAUAAUGACGGUACUUGAGGAAUAAGCAUCGGCUAACUCCGUGCCAGCAGCCGCGGUAAUACGGAGGAUGCAAGCGUUAUCCGGAAUGAUUGGGCGUAAAGCGUUCGCAGGUGGCAUUGAAAGUCUGCUGUCAAAGAGUCUGGCUCAACCAGAUACAGGCAGUGGAAACUUCAAAGCUAGAGUGCGGUAGGGGCAGAGGGAAUUCCUGGUGUAGCGGUGAAAUGCGUAGAGUUCAGGAAGAACACCGGUGGCGAAAGCGCUCUGCUAGGCCGCAACUGACACUGAGGGACGAAAGC
rnacentral:rRNA from 1 species